AUUCUAGAGACGGAGUGUGUAAAACCUGUGACGCAGUUGAUGAUAAUAUUAAGGGAAUGUAUCAGUUGAUGGCUAAAUGGGAAGAAUUGAAUAAAUCUAUGGGACCUGCAUACAAGUUGCAUGGUCAGAUUAAAGAUAUAAAGAAGCUUCUGGAUAUCUACGAAGCUGCACUCAGCAGCUCCUGAUCCAGCUGUGAAUACCUGUAAAGGGAAGCAGCUCCUGAUCUAGCUGUGAAUACCUGUAAAGGGAAGCAGCUCCUGUUCUAGCUGUGAAUACCAGUAAAGAGAAGCAGUUUCGAUGUUGAAACCUCUAGUGCAAAUUUUUUUAUUUAAGAACGAAGUUAAAUAAUCUAAAAAAAUUGUUCUUCAGAAUUAUGCAUAUUGCAUAACGAUAUUUGCAAAGAAACUGCACUCGCCUCAAAAUCCAGAAUUUUCUAAUUCUUAUAUCUUUGCAACCUGAUGAUUCAACGUUUAAUACAUCUAUGUUUAAGGUUUGAGGCAAAUAAUUAGUUAAUCAUUUUUAUAAACCUUUGCGAUCUUAUAUUAACUAUUUCUAGGUCUUGUAAUUCAUUUCUAUACUCCAUUCUAGGAUUUCUAGUCCAUCUUAUAAAUUUUAUCAAAUAUAUAGACAAUUGAAAAAUGAAGGUAAGAACCAGAAAACUGUGGAAUAGGAAGACGAUAUUAAAGCAAUAUAUAUCAGUGAAAAUGAUGUUGUUAUUACUCAAAUAGUUAAAACCCAUAAUAGUUAGAAAAUCACUGAUUAAGUUAAAUAGGUCUGUUCACAAUACUGAAUUGCUGUGUCUCAUGUUCAUUUGACUAUUCUAAAUCAUAACUUGAGUCUAAAAGCCGUCUUUCUAUUUAACAGCUUUCUAGUUCUCAUUGUAGUGUACACUGUUGUAGUUGUACUCAUUGUUGUACACAUUGUAUUGUACAAUGUAGACUACAAUGAGAACCAGAAAACUAUGGAAUAGGAAGACGACUUUUAGACUCACUGUACAGUGUACAGUGAUUAUCUAUCCUUAUCCUGCGUCACUGUUGCAUUUAACACUACUCUGUUAACUAAAAAUUUUAUUGUAAAGUUCCCAAAAUACUCCACAUUUCACACUUCACUUAACACUACACUCUUUGUAACUUAACAUCUAUAGAAGCUGCACUGAGUUUGUUGACGUUUACUCCUGCCAGAUAUUGCAGUACACUUUUUUCUUAAUCAAAGAUAUUCUAGCAUUUGCUUUAAAAACGGGAAAAUUUAAGAUUUUGAAUACCUUAAUAAGUUUUGUGAUCAUUUCCCUAUUUUUAUCCUCUUUAGUCUAUUGGAAUUUCAAUUCCACAUUCCAAAUUUUGAUUUCACGGGUACAACUUCAGAUUCGCCAAUCAUAGGAAGUAUCUCCUGGACUCCCCCUGCUGGGGAAAAGCUAGUUGGGGGGGGGGGGGGUUAAAGAUCUGGCAUUGGAACGGGUGUAGGGUAUGGUGCUACCCACACCUGGCGGCGGGCUGGGGGGCCCACAUUGGGGCCUCUUGUAGAUUCCAUUUCUUUAUGUUCUUUACGUAGUCUAAAUGUAGUUUUUUGUUCUUUAAAGUACAUAUUGAUAAACAUUUAUAGUGUACUUAGUCAAACUGUAUUGCUUGUCUACUUUAAAGUACAUAUUCAGAGAAUACUUAAUAUAACUGUAUUGCUUUUGUAUUUUUAAGUAUCAUAUUUAAACAUAUUCUGAGUUUACUUAGUCUUAAUGUAUUGGUUUGUACUUUAAAGUACAUAUUGAAACAUAUUCAGAGUGUACUUAGUCACUGUAGUGUUUUGUACUUCAAAGUACAUAUUGAAACAUAUUCAGAGUGUGCUUAGUGACUGUAUUGUUUUGUACUUUAAAGUACAUAUUUGAAACAUAUUCAGAGUGUACUUAGUCACUGUAUUGUUUUGUACUUCAAAGUACAUAUUUGAAACAUAUUCAGAGUGUACUUACUCACUGUAUUGGUUUGUACUUUAAAGUACAUAUUUAAAAAUAUUCAGAGUGUACUUAGUCACUGUAUUGUUUUGUACUUCAAAGUACAUAUUGAAACAUAUUCAGAGUGUACUGAGUCACUGUAUUGUUUUAUACUUAAAGUACAUAUUUGAAACAUAUUUCAGA